rnacentral:rRNA from 1 species
UCAUACCUACGGGGGGCAGCAGUGGGGAAUAUUGGGCAAUGGGCGCAAGCCUGACCCAGCAACGCCGCGUGAAGGAAGAAGGCUUUCGGGUUGGAAACUUCUUUUCUCAGGGACGAAGCAAGUGACGGUACCUGAGGAAUAAGCCACGGCUAACUACGUGCCAGCAGCCGCGGUAAUACGUAGGUGGCAAGCGUUAUCCGGAUUUACUGGGUGUAAAGGGCGUGUAGGCGGGAAAGCAAGUCAGAUGUGAAAACCACGGGCUCAACCAGUGGCCUGCAUUUGAAACUGUUUUUCUUGAGUACUGG